ensembl:lncRNA
CACACGGGCGGGAUGGAAGGUUUCUCUCUCAUGGGGAGCUGGUUUAUUGUUGAACUGUGGGCCGGGGUUACGUCUUACGAUAUGAUAUCGUCUGUAAUUUGUAUGUAAAUACUUGCGUGUAAUCUAUGCUUUGUCAAAAACCUCUAUUCAAUUAAACAUCCUGACGGCUGGAUUUUCUCGUGGUCAACGUGUACAUUCGCAAUGGAUUAGCUGCCUGCAUCCGAAAGAAAACCAGCGCGUAGACAAAAAGAGGAGAAGAAGUAAUCUUUAACACGGCCUGAGGCACUCGUCUAUCACCGCCAAAUACAAAGGUCCACGACACAAAACCAGCACACUAUGCAGCUAACAAAGAAGACUAGGCGUGAAUAAAGGAUGGCAGUGAAUGGGCCGAACCUGAUGAAGGUAGAAUGGAAAAAAAGCAGUCGUGGUUCAAACAGAUGUGCGUGCAGAGGAUGUUCAGGACGAGAAAUGCAUUGAUCCAUCCAGCUGAGCGACCAGGACCAUGUGACGGGCCGAUCAGCCUCACACAUACGGUCACACGGCGCAACGUACACAACGAUGUGGCCUUUAGCUCCUCACUGAACUCCAGUUUCC